GUUACUUUUCUAUUCAAGAUGUUCUCGUGUGGGAAAUUGGAAUUUACUUUCUUGUUCAGGGCAUUUUCGUUUAAGAAAUUAGAAUUUACUUUCCUGUUUGAGUCGAUCCCAUUUAGGAAACAAAUGGAUUCUAAACUCACUUGCCUGUUUAGGAGGGGAUCUGCGGGAUUCCUCCUUGAUGCAGGAUUGUAUCAUUGGAACUAAAUUGGAGUCAUUUAGGAUCAUGUCAUCCCCCCUUCUUUAGAAAGAUUCACCCUCGAAUCUGGUCCAUUAAAAGGAGAAUGAUUAGUGAUAAGAAAAGAAAGCUCAUUUUGCUUACCUGGCUCAUUGACUCCAUCAUUGAUGUGGUUCUUAACUGGAAUCACACUUCCUCCUAGAUCAUGCAAUAUAUCAUCACUCGAAAUAAAAGAAUUAACAGCUAAACACGACUAAUUUUGGUGGCCGACUUUUGUUCCUUCUUUUGUAUCUUACGUGAUAGGGUGCUCGACCUCUGGAAGAGCAUGAAUCUAUUCUUGACUAGAAAGGCCCUCUGUCACAUCAUUAUGUCACAAGCACUUAUUUUGAUAAGUUUGAAUCAACCCGACACUUGGCAAAAUGAUUGUACACACCCUCUAAAAGAGCACUCACACAAUUAGCAAGAGUUAAAAGCAAACUAGAACAUUUAUUAAAUAUUGAAAUUACAGCUAUGAUACCAACUGACGUGGGAGGGUGUGGGAAAGAUCGUUUUGACUCUCAGAACCUCAACCCUACAUGUGUAAUUUCAGAAACUUAACCAUCUAAUUAACUCCUCCCUCUGUUUGAUUCUACAACCAAGAAUAUGAUAUGCAAAAACAAAAACUAGGGAAAUGAAAAACGAAGAAAAGAAAAACGUCACGAACUUAUCCGAUAACUCAUUCCAACUCCUCAGCUUGGCAAGACUUUG
rnacentral:lncRNA from 1 species